rnacentral:rRNA from 1 species
UAAUACGUAGGGGGCGAGCGUUGUCCGAAGUUACUGGGCGUAAAGCGCGCGUAGGCGGGUUCUUAAGUGAGGGGUGAAAGGUUUGGGCUCAACCCAAACACUGCCUUUCAUACUGGGAGCCUUGAGUAUGGGAGAGGCGAGUGGAAUGGUCGGUGUAGCGGUGAAAUGCGUAGAUAUCGAUCGGAACACCCAUGGCGAAGGCAGCUCGCUGGCCUAAAACUGACGCUGAGGCGCGAAAGCGUGGGGAGCAAACAGGAUUAGAUACCCUGGUAGUCCACGCCGUAAACGAUGAGUGCUAGGUGUCAGGGGUAUCGACCCCCCUGGUGCCGCAGCUAACGCAAUAAGCACUCCGCCUGGGGAGUACGGCCGCAAGGUUG